AGUGAACGCUGGCGGUAGGCCUAACACAUGCAAGUCGAACGGCAGCACAGUAAGAGCUUGCUCUUACGGGUGGCGAGUGGCGGACGGGUGAGGAAUACAUCGGAAUCUACUUUUUCGUGGGGGAUAACGUAGGGAAACUUACGCUAAUACCGCAUACGACCUACGGGUGAAAGCAGGGGAUCUUCGGACCUUGCGCGAUUGAAUGAGCCGAUGUCGGAUUAGCUAGUUGGCGGGGUAAAGGCCCACCAAGGCGACGAUCCGUAGCUGGUCUGAGAGGAUGAGCAGCCACACUGGAACUGAGACACGGUCCAGACUCCUACGGGAGGCAGCAGUGGGGAAUAUUGGACAAUGGGCGCAAGCCUGAUCCAGCCAUACCGCGUGGGUGAAGAAGGCCUUCGGGUUGUAAAGCCCUUUUGUUGGGAAAGAAAAGCAGCAGGUUAAUACCCCGCUGUUCUGACGGUACACAAAGAAUAAGCACCGGCUAACUUCGU
rnacentral:rRNA from 1 species